UCUGGGAGGCUGAGGCAGGAGGAUAGCAAGUUUGAGGCCAGCUUGGGCUACAUAGUGAGACCCUGUCACACACACACGCAGUAUUUGGACCUGCCCUUAAGCGUCUAUUCCAAAACCUACACUUCAAGUUUUUACCAAGAAACAUGAUUUUGAAUUCUCCACUAUCCCUUCCUUAUUUUCGGAAACUCCCAAAGGGAUUGCGAUGCAGCAGGCCCGCGGAUCAGCAUCGGGGAAAUAUUCAUCUAGACCUGUGGCUCUUGAAACUUCGGUGUCCAUCAAAAUCACCUGGGACCCUGUUCCGCCUUCAGCCUGAGAAAGCCUGGUUUGGAAUUGCUGAGUAGCAAAUCUGCAGCCUCCAAGCACCACUUCCCAUCCUCAGCUUCUCUGGCCACCACCACUGCCAGGGACACAGACUCAGGUCCCUGUGUCCACAGCUUUGUGUGGAGCGACCUUGCACUGAGCCCAUUACCUGCCCCUUACUUUCUUCUCCAGAGCAUCGCUGAACGCCAUGGUGAGGUUAUGCCUGCAGAAAGCCCAGGGAUUCACCCACCCCAGGCAUCGGUCGGUCGGUAAGUGGAUGAAGAGAAGAAACCUGCUUCCUUCUGCUCUCACAGGCAUAAGAGAUUUUGAGAAUUUGGAGGUUUAUUGCCCACUCACUUUAUCAAGCCCAGAACUGGCCUCCCUAAAAUUCCUCAGAGACCUGCAGUCUUUUCAGUCUGCUGCUCUACCAUUUCACAGAGAAUGGCUGUUGUCCUCACAAUCCAGAAGGCUGCUUACGUGCCAGGCAUUAUGUUCACACUUCAGGCAGCAGGAUGAAGAAAAGAGUCAAGAAGGGUAGGCUCCCACCUUUAAGGAGAUGUAUCUGAAGUGACGUACAUUUCAGCUUAUCUGUCACUGGCCAAAUCUUAAUCACAGGACUGUGGGAUAUGUAAUCAUUCAACUGAUGCCAAUUGCUUAGCUGUAUAUCUGGGUUCUUGUGUGAGGAAGAGAAAAUGGAAUUGGAGGAAUAACUGGCACACUCUGCCCACCACACCUGGAGCCAUGCUUUCCCCCAUACAUGUGUGUGCCAUGGCUGCUCAGAGUUUAUUGAUCUAUAAUUUGUUGAUCUAUUGAUUUAUUUUUUCUGGUCAUGGGCAUUUCCCAGUCUUGCCAUCGUGAACAAUCUCUCUGUUAACAUUUUUCCACUUGUGUCCUGUUACACAGGUCCAAGCAUCUCCUGGGGGUUUAUGCUGUGGAAUGGGAUUGCUAAACAGCACAUUAUGUCCAAAACAGAAUUAAUUCCCUUCCCCCUAAGCCAGCCUCCUCUCUCAGCCUCCUUUUCUCUUGGAACCAUCCCAUUCCCAGGCCUUUGCUCCUCAUAUCCACUUGGUUGCCAGGCCUGCUAAGCUCUUCCUUCCUGGACACUGCCCACUGCUCCUCCCUGCUCCACAAAUCCGCCUAGCCACCACUGCUUAGGAAACUCCGGCCACGGGAUGUCCUUGCCUGACGUCCUCCUCCGAAUCCUUCUCAGCCUGGAAGUUGCUCUCCUCUGCUAACAGUAUUAGAGCUGGCAGGGACCUGAGAGCUCAGCUGGUGAGACACACAUCUCCACAGAGUCCUGGUGCUUCAGGCCGCUCAGGGAGAUGGCAAGGAGAGAAGGCUGAAGCCAGUCUUGGUUAAGCACAGUGGGGUGGACCUGUGGACAAGGACACUGAGCUGGAUCGGGUUACAUUGAGAGAAAUACAGUCAUCGUGCUGUCUUGGACGCAAGUGUUUGGGGCCCAAGGAGCAGCUGUGCGGCUAGAGAUGCCAGGGGCCCAGGCUAGUCCUCGGCGAGGACACCGGGACUGCGCAGAGGGGUGAGGGUGUAGGCUGGACACAGCUGGAGACCCAGACCCGCUCUCCCCGCCCCACCCUGCUCCAGUCUGCCACAAAGAUAACAGUGGGGGGCACUCUGCCUAGGUCACCUCCCCAAUUCUCACUUCAGCUUCACAAUUGCCCUCAUUCUACAGAUGAGCAGGGCUGGGGAAGAGAGCUGAGGACAUCCGGCCCCGAAGUAUACGACUGGCUGUAAAACGCUCCAGCCCCAGGCAGCUGGGAGUAUGAAGCAAGAACUCAGGUCCUCGUGCCUGAAACUUCCGCUAUUUGGGAGCGGGUGGUAGACAUCGGUGAUGCCCUGUGGAAUCCAACAGGUCUGAGAGCCUUGGGAUGGAGCUCAAGUUAGAAGGAAUCAAAAAGGACUCAAAAGUCAUAAUGAAGACGUGUCCCCCAACCCCUAGCCUGAUGGAACCCAGGGCCUUCACGCUAAGCUACAUCCCCAGACCUUUUUUGUUUUUUAUUUUGAGACAGAGUCUCACUAAGUCCCUAAAGUCCCCUGGGUGACAUUAAACUUUUGAUCCUCCUGCCUCAGUCUCCCAGAGUCUGUUUAUAACUUGUGUGUGAUUUUGCUUCCUUUUUGGCUGUUUAUUCUUGGGGCAGCAAUCCCAGGGGAAACCUGUGCCUCCUACCCACGAAGCCAGAGGGCCAAGCAGGCCACAGCGAGCUG
rnacentral:lncRNA from 1 species